AGUGAACGCUGGCGGUAGGCCUAACACAUGCAAGUCGAAUGGCAGCACAGUAAGAGCUUGCUCUUACGGGUGGCGAGUGGCGGACGGGUGAGGUAUACAUCGGAACCUACUUUUUCGUGGGGGAUAACGUAGGGAAACUUACGCUAAUACCGCAUACGACCUACGGGUGAAAGCAGGGGAUCUUCCGACCUUGCGCGAUUGAAUGAGCCGAUGUCGGAUUAGCUAGUUGGCGGGGUAAAGGCCCACCAAGGCGACGAUCCGUAGCUGGUCUGAGAGGAUGAUCAGCCACACUGGAACUGAGACACGGUCCAGACUCCUACGGGAGGCAGCAGUGGGGAAUAUUGGACAAUGGACGCAAGCCUGAUCCAGCCAUACCGCGUGGGUGAAGAAGGCCUUCGGGUUGUAAAGCCCUUUUGUUGGGAAAGAAAAGCAGCAGGUUAAUACCCCGCUGUUCUGACGGUACCCAAAGAAUAAGCACCGGCUAACUUCGUG
rnacentral:rRNA from 1 species